rnacentral:lncRNA from 1 species
CCAGCACGUAACUGAUCGGGAGAGAUAGUUUGGUAGAAGGUGGCAGAAACCAGAGAAGCAAAAAGGAAGGAAAGGGUUAAAGGAAGAAAGAAAGCUUUGAAAUUUGCCAUGGAUGAGGGUAGCUAAUAGGAAGAAAGAAGAUUGUUGUGUAGUUCGUAUAUUUUUUGGUGUAUUAUAAGUGUGGAGGUGUGAACUAUUUAUAACAAUGGAGGUGUGAAGUACUUGAUGUUUGGUAAACGUCACAUGAGACUAUAGGCACGAGCAAAGGCAAUAAGAAGUGGUAGUUGGAUAAAUAGAUUUUAGUACAAAGACACUGUGGUUGCAUUCAAAUUGAAUUGAUAGAUUGCUAAUCCAAUAUCCAAGCUUUCAAAAUUACCUUAGCUUUGAUCAUCA